AUUGAACGCUGGCGGCAUGCUUUACACAUGCAAGUCGAACGGUAACAGCACUUCGGUGGCUGACGAGUGGCGAACGGGUGAGUAAUACAUCGGAACGUGCCUAGUCGUGGGGGAUAACUACUCGAAAGAGUAGCUAAUACCGCAUGAGAUCUAAGGAUGAAAGCAGGGGACCUUCGGGCCUUGCGCUACUAGAGCGGCUGAUGGCAGAUUAGGUAGUUGGUGGGAUAAAAGCUUACCAAGCCGACGAUCUGUAGCUGGUCUGAGAGGACGACCAGCCACACUGGGACUGAGACACGGCCCAGACUCCUACGGGAGGCAGCAGUGGGGAAUUUUGGACAAUGGGCGCAAGCCUGAUCCAGCAAUGCCGCGUGCAGGAUGAAGGCCUUCGGGUUGUAAACUGCUUUUGUACGGAACGAAAAGCCCUCUUCUAAUACAGGGGGGUCAUGACGGUACCGGAAGAAUAAGCACCGGCUAACUACGUG
rnacentral:rRNA from 1 species